rnacentral:rRNA from 1 species
GGGGAGCAAACAGGAUUAGAUACCCUGGUAGUCCACGCCCUAAACGAUGUCAACUAGCUGUUGGGGCCGUUAGGCCUUAGUAGCGCAGCUAACGCGUGAAGUUGACCGCCUGGGGAGUACGGUCGCAAGAUUAAAACUCAAAGGAAUUGACGGGGACCCGCACAAGCGGUGGAUGAUGUGGAUUAAUUCGAUGCAACGCGAAAAACCUUACCUACCCUUGACAUGUCUGGAAAGCCGAAGAGAUUUGGCCGUGCUCGCAAGAGAACCGGAACACAGGUGCUGCAUGGCUGUCGUCAGCUCGUGUCGUGAGAUGUUGGGUUAAGUCCCGCAACGAGCGCAACCCUUGUCAUUAGUUGCUACGCAAGAGCACUCUAAUGAGACUGCCGGUGACAAACCGGAGGAAGGUGGGGAUGACGUCAAGUCCUCAUGGCCCUUAUGGGUAGGGCUUCACACGUCAUACAAUGGUCGGGACAGAGGGUCGCCAACCCGNCGAGGGGGAGCCAAUCUCAAGAAACCCGAUCGNAGUCCGGAUCGCAGUCUGCAACUCGACUGCGUGAAG